rnacentral:rRNA from 1 species
AUCGGUGAUGGAUGGGGAUGCGUCUGAUUAGCUUGUUGGCGGGGUAACGGCCCACCAAGGCUACGAUCAGUAGGGGUUCCGAGAGGAAGGUCCCCCACAUUGGAACUGAGACACGGUCCAAACUCCUACGGGAGGCAGCAGUGAGGAAUAUUGGUCAAUGGGCGAGAGCCUGAACCAGCCAAGUAGCGUGCAGGAUGACGGCCCUAUGGGUUGUAAACUGCUUUUAUAAGGGAAUAAAGUGGGAGUCGUGACUCUUUUUGCAUGUACCUUAUGAAUAAGGACCGGCUAAUUCCGUGCCAGCAGCCGCGGUAAUACGGAAGGUCCGGGCGUUAUCCGGAUUUAUUGGGUUUAAAGGGAGCGUAGGCCGGAGAUUAAGCGUGUUGUGAAAUGUAGAUGCUCAACAUCUGCACUGCAGCGCGAACUGGUUUCCUUGAGUACGCACAAAGUGGGCGGAAUUUGUGGUGUAGCGGUGAAAUGCUUAGAUAUCACGAAGAACUCCGAUUGCGAAGGCAGCUCACUGGAGCGCAACUGACGCUGAAGCUCGAAAGUGCGGGUAUCGAACAGGAUUAGAUACCCUGGUAGUCCGCACGGUAAACGAUGGAUGCCCGCUGUUGGUCUGAAUAGGUCAGCGGCCAAGCGAAAGCAUUAAGCAUCCCACCUGGGGAGUACGCCGGCAACGGUGCAACUCAAAUGAAUUGACGGA